CAGUCGAGUUGUCCGGGUUCCAGCCUGCCGGGUUCCAGGCCCGGCCCUUUGGGUGCCUUGAGUUCGAUCCACAGCCCGGUAGA
rnacentral:tRNA from 1 species